rnacentral:ncRNA from 1 species
AUGAUGGUUUGGUUGCUUUUCAUUAUAGGUCUUAUGGGACUUUUUUUACAACAAAAGAGACUCCAUCAUUUCUAUAGUGAUUUUACCCACUACAGAAAUUAUAGAGCC